CCUACGGGCGGCUUCAGUGGGGAAUAUUGGGCAAUGGAGGAAACUCUGACCCAGCAACGCCGCGUGAAGGAUGAAGGUUUUCGGAUUGUAAACUUCUGUCGCGAGGGAUGAAGAAUGACGGUACCUCGUAAGAAAGCCCCGGCAAACUACGUGCCAGCAGCCCCGGUAAUACGUAGGGGGCGAGCGUUGUCCGGAAUGACUGGGCGUAAAGGGAGUGUAGGGGGCUUAUUAAGGUAUGUGUGAAAGCCCGCGGCCUAACCCCGGAAUUGCACAUAAAACUGGUUAGCUGGAGCGCAGGAGAGGUAAGUGGAAUUCCCGGUGUAGCGGUGGAAUGCGUAGAUAUCGGGCGGAACACCAGAGGCGAAGG
rnacentral:rRNA from 1 species